UUGCCCCUCCUGCGCACGCGCCUCCCCCAGCUUGUCCCAGUGCGCAGGCGAAUCGCUCCCACUUCCACGGGUGCGUGCGGUGCUGCCCGCCCGGCGGGCGCCCUGAUUGGCCGGUGUCCGAGCAGGGGCGGGGCUAGCGCCAAACACAAAUGGCUGCGGCCCGCGCGAGCGGUAGCUUGUGCCGGACCCGAAAGAGAGCAGGUGGGGGAGGGCAGAGAGCAGCGGGUUCACCCCCCAGCUCGGCUCGGGGGCGGAGUGGGGGGAGCCCCCCCGGGGGCACCAUGCUGUCCCGGCAGAGCCCCCCCGCCCGCGUGCGCGUCUGCGUCCGCCUGCGCCCCGGCAGCCGGGGGGCCCCCUGCGUGCGCGGCCUGGAUUCCCGCUCCCUGGAGCUCAGCCACUGGCGGGACAGGAGGGUGACUCUGCGGUACCAGUUCGACACCUUCUAUGGCGACCGCGCCACCCAGCAUGACGUCUACACCGGCUCCGUGCAGCCUGUCCUGGGCCACCUGCUGGAGGGGCAGAACGCCAGCGUGCUGGCCUAUGGGCCCACCGGGGCUGGUAAGACGUACACCAUGCUGGGCAGCCCAGAACAGCCAGGUGUGAUCCCACGGGCGCUGCGGGAUGUCCUGCAGAUGACACGGGAGGCGAGCUGCUCACCCGGGGCUGAGGAGUGGGACUUCUCCGUCUCCAUGUCCUACCUGGAGAUCUACCAGGAGAAGGUGCUGGACCUGCUGGAGCCGUCCCAGCAGGACCUGCCAAUCCGGGAGGACCGGGACCGGAACAUCCUGAUCCCGGGGCUGACUGAGCGGGAGCUCAGAGGCUUCGGGGACUUCGAGCGGCACUUCCUGCCGGCCAGCCGCAACCGCACGGUAGCCUCCACUCAGCUCAACAACCGCUCGAGCCGCAGCCACGCCGUGCUGCUGGUGCGGGUGGCACGGAGCCAGCGGGCGCCCCCUCACCGCCACCACGUGGCCAAGCUCUGCCUCAUCGACCUGGCUGGCUCCGAGGACAACCGGCGCACUGGCAACCGCGGCCUGCGGCUCAAGGAGAGCGGAGCCAUCAACGCCUCCCUGCAUGUGCUCAGCAAGGUGGUGGAUGCCCUCAACCAGGGGCUGCCCCGCGUGCCGUACCGUGACAGCAAGCUCACCCGCCUGCUGCAGGACUCCCUGGGGGGCUCGGCUCACAGCGUGAUCAUUGCAAAUGUCGCCCCGGAGCAACACUUUUACUUUGACACGCUGAGCACGCUGAACUUUGCUGCCAAGUCCAAGCAGGUGGUGAACCGGCCCUUCACCCAGGAGACGCUGCAGGCCCCAGCUGCACGCAAGAGACCUCGCGAGGACCCUGGAGCUGGCAGUGAGGAUGCUGGCCCCGGAGCCAAGAGCCCUCCCGAGGAGGAGCCCCCCGAGGCCGAGCCGCUCAGCUCCCUGCUGCCCCUGGAGCAGCUGGACCCAAGGCUGGUGCAGCGGCUGCUGGUGCUGGAGCAGCUGGAGAAGCAGCAGGGGGGGGCCGGGCGGAGGCUGCCACUGCUCAGCACCCCCCGGCGGGAGCGGGUGGCCGUGCUGCGCCAGCUGGAGGAGACGCGCCGCGAGCUGCAGAAGCUGAAGGAGAGGCAGAAGGAGUGGGAAGCCGGGGCGCUGCUGGACAAGGCCUGUCAGCCCAAGCCUCUGCCCCACAGCGAGGCCCCCGCCGCGGCCCAGAACCAGACUGUGGUUCUCCCGCUGCAGCAAGAGCCGGGACGGAACCCAGGAGUCCUGGCUCCUACCCUGCUAACCCUGCCCCCUGCUCUGCAGUGGAGACCCCCGUUGGGCAGCAGGCCCUGCCCAGUGGAGCCGAAGGGAUCCUGGUCAUACAAAGGAAGCAGGGCCAGGCGGCCGCGGGGGCCGAGAACCGGGCCCCGGGCUGGGAGCUGGUGCCGCGCCCCGACCUGCUGGCGCGGAGCCGCGAGAACCUGCUGGCGCGGCUCAACCGGGGCGAUGCCAAGGAGCUGCAGGCCCUGCGCCACAUCGGGGGGAUGAGAGCCCAGCGCAUCCUGGCCUGGAGACAGCAGCACGGGCCCUUCAGCCAGCUGGGGGACCUGCAGCAGGUGGAGGGGAUGACAGCCCGGCACGUGGCCUCUUUCCUGAAAGCAAACCUGCUGCGCGCCCUGGGCUGCGACCCGCCCCCGCCCCCCGCUCAAUAAAAGUCUCUGUGUCCGUCA